rnacentral:rRNA from 1 species
UACGGAGGAUCCAAGCGUUAUCCGGAUUUAUUGGGUUUAAAGGGUGCGUAGGCGGCUUGUUAAGUCAGGGGUGAAAGACGAUGGCUCAACCAUCGCAGUGCCUUUGAUACUGGCGAGCUUGAAUGUACUUGAGGUAGGCGGAAUGUGACAAGUAGCGGUGAAAUGCAUAGAUAUGUCACAGAACACCGAUUGCGAAGGCAGCUUACUAAAGUAUGAUUGACGCUGAGGCACGAAAGCGUGGGGAUCAAACAGG